AGGGGGCAAGCGUUAUCCGGAAUUACUGGGUGUAAAGGGUGCGUAGGCGGCGAUUUAAGUCAGAUGUGAAAACUCAGGGCUCAACCUUGAGACUGCAUCUGAAACUGAGUUGCUAGAGUGCAGGAGAGGAAAGCGGAAUUCCGAGUGUAGCGGUGAAAUGCGUAGAGAUUCGGAGGAACACCAGUAGCGAAGGCGGCUUUCUGGACUGUAACUGACGCUGAGGCACGAAAGCGUGGGGAGCGAA
rnacentral:rRNA from 1 species